rnacentral:rRNA from 1 species
GUCGGGUCGUAAAGCACUUUUGGAAGGAAUAGGAAGGAAUGUACUUCCAGAAUAAGUCUCGGCUAACUACGUGCCAGCAGCCGCGGUAACACGUAGGAGGCAAACGUUAUCCGGAUUUACUGGGCGUAAAGCGCGUGUAGGUGGUACUGUAAGUAGGGCGUGAAAGCUCCUGGCUCAACUGGGAGAGGCCGUUCUAAACUACAGAACUAGAGGAUGGUAGAGGGAGGUGGAAUUCCAGGUGUAGCGGUGGAAUGCGCAGAUAUCUGGAGGAACACCGGUGGCGAAGGCGGCCUCCUGGACCAUUCCUGACACUCAGACGCGAAAGCUAGGGUAGCAAACGGGAUUAGAGACCCCGGUAGUCCUAGCCCUAAACGAUGUAGACUAGGCGUCGGAAGUUUAAUCACUUUCGGUGUCCAAGCUAACGCGAUAAGUCUACCGCCUGGGGACUACGGCCGCAAGGUUAAAACUCAAAGGAAUUGACGGGUCCCCGCACAAGCAGCGGAGCGUGUGGUUUAAUUCGUUGCUACACGAAGAACCUUACCUGGGUUUGACAUAGCAGUGGUAGGGAAGCGAAAGCGGACCGACCCUUCGGGGAGCUGUUACAGGUGUUGCAUGGCUGUCGUCAGCUCGUGUCGUGAGAUGUUCGGUUAAGUCCGCUAACGAGCGCAACCCGCGUUGUGUGUUACAAGUGUCACACAAUACCGCCGGUAUUAAGUCGGAGGAAGGUGCGGAUGACGUCAAGUCAGCAUGACCUUUAUAUCCAGGGCUACACACACGCUACAAUGGUCAGCACAAUAGGUUGCCAAGUCGUGAGACGGAGCCAAUCCUCCAAAGCUGGCCUCAGUUCAGAUUGCAGGCUGCAACUCGCCUGCAUGAAGUUGGAGUUGCUAGUAACCGCAGGUCAGCUAUACUGCGGUGAAUACGUUCCCGGGGAUUGCACACACCGCCCGU